rnacentral:rRNA from 1 species
GAUGAACGCUGGCGGCGUGCCUAACACAUGCAAGUCGAGCGAUUCUCUUCGGAGAAGAGCGGCGGACGGGUGAGUAACGCGUGGGUAACCUACCCUGUACACACGGAUAACAUACCGAAAGGUAUGCUAAUACGGGAUGAUAUAUAGAAAUCGCAUGAUUUUUAUAUCAAAGAUUUAUCGGUACAGGAUGGACCCGCGUCUGAUUAGCUUGUUGGCGGGGUAMCGGCCCACCAAGGCGACGAUCAGUAGCCGACCUGAGAGGGUGAUCGGCCACAUUGGAACUGAGACACGGUCCAAACUCCUACGGGAGGCAGCAGUGGGGAAUAUUGCACAAUGGGCGCAAGCCUGAUGCAGCAACGCCGCGUGAGCGAUGAAGGCCUUCGGGUCGUAAAGCUCUKUCCUCAAGGAAGAUAAUGACGGKACURRGG